rnacentral:piRNA from 1 species
UACAAGAGAACAAAGAAGUGUUGGUAUCUGU